GAUGAACGCUGGCGGCGUGCCUAAUACAUGCAAGUCGAGCGAACAGACGAGGAGCUUGCUCCUCUGACGUUAGCGGCGGACGGGUGAGUAACACGUGGAUAACCUACCUAUAAGACUGGGAUAACUUCGGGAAACCGGAGCUAAUACCGGAUAAUAUAUUGAACCGCAUGGUUCAAUAGUGAAAGACGGUUUUGCUGUCACUUAUAGAUGGAUCCGCGCCGCAUUAGCUAGUUGGUAAGGUAACGGCUUACCAAGGCAACGAUGCGUAGCCGACCUGAGAGGGUGAUCGGCCACACUGGAACUGAGACACGGUCCAGACUCCGACGGGAGGCAGCAGUAGGGAAUCUUCCGAAAUGGGCGAAAGCUUGACGGAGCAACGCCGCGUGAGUGAUGAAGGUCUUCGGAUCGUAAAACUCUGUUAUUAGGGAAGAACAAAUGUGUAAGUAACUAUGCACGUCUUGACGGUACCUAAUCAGAAAGCCACGGCUAACUACGUG
rnacentral:rRNA from 1 species